rnacentral:tRNA from 1 species
GCCGGGGUCACCUAGAGUUAGCAAAUGUUGCGGGGAAUCUGGUAUGGUGCGGGCCUGGAGAGCCCGUGGGCCGUUAAGGCCCGCAGGGGUUCAAAUCCCCUCCCCGGCG